rnacentral:pre_miRNA from 1 species
AGUGGAAUUGUUGGGCUGUAUGGUAAGUUUACGUUUAACUUUUUAAGAAAUUGCCAAGCUCUUUUCUAAAGUGGCUGUACCAUUUUAUAUUCCCACCGACAAU